AUACGGAGGGAGCAAGCGUUAUUCGGAAUCACUGGGCGUAAAGGACGCGUAGGCGGGUUUGUAAGUCAGGUGUGAAAUCCUACAGCUCAACUGUAGAACUGCACUUGAAACUACAGACCUAGAAUAUGGAAGGGACAGAUGGAAUUAGUGGUGUAGGGGUAAAAUCCGUAGAUAUCACCAGGAAUACCGAAAGCGAAGGCGAUCUGCUGGGACACUACUGACGCUGAGGCGUGAAAGCGUGGGGAGCAAACAGGAUUAGAAACCCGGGUAGUCC
rnacentral:rRNA from 1 species